GGCCCCAUCGUCUAGUGGUCUAGGACUCCGGCCUCUCACGCCGGCAACACGGGUUCGAACCCCGUUGGGGUCACCA
rnacentral:tRNA from 3 species